UCAAUUGACCGGUUUCAAGUGUUUAUGGGCUUAAGGCUUAAGUUCAGUAAAUUUUGAUAAAUGACAUUUUUAAUUCUAGGUCUGACAACUCAUGUGCAGCAGUCGCGUAAGACAGAGCAGCGUAUCAUCUUUAGUAGGUUUAAGGGUACCUAGACAGCGAAAAUCACUUAUCUUUAAUUAGAUUAAAUUUUAUUCUCUAGAGUUUUAUAGAAGGAAAUUCAGUACGGUGAGUGUAGGGAUAAAAUCCAUUGAUACCACUUAGACACAGGCUACGGUAAGCAGAUCUAUAUAACUGACGUAGCGAGCUCAAUCGAAGACGGGAUUAGUAACCCCAGUACUCUGAGCAGACAUAUGAAUGCCAUAUGUAAGAUAAUAUUCUGUGUUAAACAAAAGUGUAAGCAUUCCACCUCAAGAGUAAUAUGGCAACAUAUAAACUGAAAUCAUUAGGCCGUUUCUGGAAUUCGUAAUGAAGUAUGUUAUUUAAUUUGAUGACCCACAAAGGACCUUACCACAGUGUGUAUAGUUAUGUAUAUAAAUACAUUUCGGACAAGCGUUGCACGGCUGUCUACAGUUGAUAUCGUGAGAAGUGAUUCGCUUCACAAAUCGACGUAAUCCCUGACUUUAUUUAAAAUAAAGUACUAUUUUAGUGAUUAAACCUGUCUAAAUUUAUAUAUGGGAAAAUGACAAGUCAUCAUGACCUAGCCA
rnacentral:rRNA from 1 species